AAAGAACUGGGACUCUGCCUCUAUUGUGCCGCAAAGGAGCAUUCUGUUUCUGACUGUCCUUCUUUAAAGAUACAAAGAUCAGUGGGGACAAAACCGACACAGUCUUAAGGCCGUUUUGGAUUCGGGAGCCUACGCUAGUUAUAUAGAUAUAAAAGUUGUACAAGAAAAUAAAAUACCCAUUAUUGCAAAGAAAAAAA